AAAGAGCUUCAGAAAAAUAAAGAUUCCUUCGACUAAGAAGUGGUCAUUUCAGCCAAUUGCUUACAGUCCAUCCUUUCUUUCCCUAUACAAUAUUGCAAAGGCAGAGGACGUGAAGAGGGUUGGCAGCAGUAAGAGAUAUAACAAGCUGCCUGUUUGAUGAAGCGAGUUAUGAUUGUACUGCUUUUGAAGAGGCUCUUCAUAAAGCCAAAAAUUCCUCUCCGGAUUCGAAUCAGAGGAUUGGGACUGCAUGAUUUCUUCAGAGGAAAAAGGGAGGCUUCUUUUUGUUACUUGGCUUCAGCCAUCAGGGGAAACUCGG